UACGGGAGGCAGCAGUGGGGAAUCUUCCGCAAUGGGCGCAAGCCUGACGGAGCAACGCCGCGUGAGUGAAGAAGGCUUUCGGGUUGUAAAACUCUGUCUUCAGGGAAGAAAGAAAUGACGGUACCUGAGGAGGAAGCCCCGGCUAACUACGCGCCAGCAGCCGCGGUAAAACGUAGGGGGCGAGCGUUGUCCGGAAUUACUGGGCGUAAAGGGCGCGUAGGCGGGAUGGCAAGUCAGAUGUGAAAUACCGGGGCUUAACCUCGGGGCUGCAUUUGAAACUGCUGUUCUUGAGUGAUGGAGAGGCAGGCGGAAUUCCUAGUGUAGCGGUGAAAUGCGUAGAUAUUGGGAGGAACACCAGUGGCGAAGGCGRCUUUCUGGACUGUGUCUGACGCUGAGGCGCGAAAGCCAGGGGAGUGAACGGGAUUAGAUACCCCGGUAAUCCUGGCCGUAAACGAUGGGUACUAGGUGUAGAGGGUAUCGACCCCUUCUGUGCCGGAGUUAACGCAAUAAGUACCCCGCCUGGGGAGUACGGCCGCAAGGUUGAAACUCAAAGGAAUUGACGG
rnacentral:rRNA from 1 species